UAAUGCGAUUUGGGGAUUAGGGAUUUGAAUGGGGUUUAUUCUUCUUUUCAACCUUCUCUGCAUAGAUGCAUUGACCUAUUUGAAUGCUAUUGGUGAUUCAAAAGCAUUCCUCANAGAUGAAGAUGACAAGAAGAAUGAAGGUAUUUCUUGNUCGUUCAAGUGUAUUUCAUUGCUACUUAANAAUUGAGAAGCAGCAGUCAAGUCUGUUUAAUCUUCUACAGAAAUUCAUUGGGAGCUCUGAAAAUGGAAUGAGUUCUUUAGAGACUCGUAUGCAUGGCCUCUAGUUGGCAUUGGAGGAUAUAUCUUAUGAUUUGGCUGUAACUAGUGGAAGGAUAACUAAAUUUGAUGCUGAAGUGUCAUGAUUCUUAUUUGUCUGUUAUUUCCCACAGGUUUUAUGCAAAUCUCAUCUCGUAGAGUUUGCUUCAUACUUUCAUUAUUGUCACUCUCUAACCUUUGAUCAGCGACCUGAUUAUGGAUUCUUGAAACGCCUGUUUCGGGAUCUAUUUGCUCGUGAAGGUUAUGAUUUUGAUUAUGUAUUUGAUUGGACUAUUUUAAAGUACCAGCAAACACAAAAGAAUAGGGCCAAACCUCGCAUGUCUACGAUCCCUAGAGCAAGCAACAGUCCUGCAGUGCCAAUGGAUGUGGAGAACAAUCGAGGUGACCGGCUUUUGUUCUCUGCCGAACACAGGUGGUUACUACGAUUAUUAAUAGCCACCAACUGGAGAUUGUAACAUUAGCUAAUCUAUCCUCGUUGACAAUAAGUGUCACAUUUUGCUUUUGUGUUUUCUUCUCAUGUAUUCCCCCUGUAUUUUGCUUCUCUAUUUUUUUCACUUUUAAUGAUUGAUUAUAUGAUUCACAGGUAAUCUCUGAAACUGAUGUUGUUCCAUAUGGAUAUGAUGAUGCUGUUGUGAAUGAGAGCAUUUCUGUUUAUUUAGAAUUACAAGGAACUAAUUCUACAGAGGCAGAACAAGGGAAGAUCAAGAAGAUAGAAGAGCUGAGGAAGCAAAUAGAAAGACUAGAGAAGAUUAUGAAUGCUCCAGGUUAUGAAGAGAAGGUUUUGCCAAAUGUUCGAGCAAAGAACCAGGAAAAGCUAGAUUCCCUAAAGGAGCGUUUAUUGCUUGAGGAAAUGGUCUGAAUCUCUAGCUUCUAAGAAUUGAAGCUCGAGGUUUUAGAUUAAAAAAAUGAGCUUUUUUACAGUAUUGUUGAGUUUCAUGGGAAUCUUCGAUUUUCAACUAAGCUCCUCACUAGGUAUCUAAACUAAGUAGUUCUUGUACAUGUUAAAUAAUUGAGUAUUUGCAGUAUAAACUGUAAUGAAGUGUAUAAUCUUUUAUUUUUAAUUCCCCUAGAAAUUAUUUAUUUUAGUUCUUUAUAUAUCCAAUUCUUUUAAUAGUUCAGUUACAUACACUUUUCAUUUUGUGCUAGUUUUUAUGGUUUAUGAACGUGAGAGACUAAAAGGAUAUAUCCAGUGAUAGUGUAAAAUUAUUGGACUAUUUACAGAUAUGUUAAUUUGUUUUCAUAUAUGUCUUAGUUAUGCUAUACUGGACAUUUUAUAAGCUAUUUUUAUUAGUUUUUCCUAACUUGCAUACGUGCAUAAAAUAAGAUUCAACAAAACUUAUAACCAUAGUUAAUGUUGGGUUCUUUAAGAGGAAGUAUCUGAAACAUUCGGCACGAAUCAACCAUGAGGCAACCCAUAUAAGAAAACUCCAACACCAGCUCCAACCAUAUUUUGUGUUGUUUUUUAGAUGAUAUCGACAUGUUUAUUUUCCUUUCUCCAUCUUGGUUUUGUAGAGUCUUGUUUGAUAUCACCUUUGGUUACAUUUUGUUCUGCAUUAU